UUGGAUUUGAUCAUUUCUCCUAGCUUGUUGGUGAGUCCUCAUGAUUCGAGGACAGAUGCUAUCUUUGUAGUUUCUUUCAUUGUAUUUCCAUUUUUGGACUAUGUUGUAUGGGCUGUGUCCCUUCUCAUUGGAACUAUUGUAAUAGAUAGCUAUAUUGAGACAAGUCUAGACUUCCGCUUUCCUUUAAGAAAAUUUUAGAC
rnacentral:lncRNA from 1 species